AACACAAUCUUCAUCAUCACACAAAACAACAACAAUGAACAUCAUCAUCUUCAUCUGGACCACUGCAGUUUUUAUUCAAGCAUCCAGAGGAGUCACUUUGACUCAACCUGAAGUGAAAAAUGUCCAACAAGGUCAAACAGCUACAAUAGAGUGCCAGAUUGACAUCGGGAUACGCUACAACUACGUAUACUGGUAUCAGCAGAAACCUGGAGAAGCUCAUAAACCUCUCAUAUAUUAUAUAAACACCCUCCAGACAGGGACUCCAUCUAGAUUCAGUGGCAGUGGAACAGCGAAUACUGGACGAGAUUUCACUCUGACCAUCAGUGGAGUCCAGACUGAAGAUACAGGAGAUUAUUACUGUAAGAGUUACCACUGGAUCAACAGUAAACAUGUGUUCACACAGUGAUAAAGAGUCGUACAAAAACCUCCGUCAGUCAGAGUCACAGUGACUGCACUGAUACAGCUGAGAGACACUGCAGCUGCUCAUAUAAACAUAAUCACAAUCAUAUCUUUUCUAACUG